AACAAAAUUUUCCCACUUUACUUCACUCACUCUCUCUCCCUUUUCCCCGAAACCCUAUCCUUCUCCUCCCACUUUCCUUUCUGUUCAGCACCCAUCCUCCUCCUCCAUCUCCAAACGGCACUGAACCGUCCUCUUCUUACUUCUCCGCCUCCGACCAAAACCCGACCCUUCUCCGCCUCCAACGAAUUUGCAGAGAUUUCGUUGUGGCUCAUCUUGGAGGUGGACUGGAUAGAGCUGUGUGGCCGUGCUUCUAGUCAUUGUCGGAGGACGUGCAGCCUGGCCUUGACUCGUCGAAGGAAGGCGAAGAAGAUGGUGGCUGCUGUGAGUCAACACCGGUGGUCGGAGAUCGGUGACGGAGAAGAGAGAGUCCUCCAGAUCCACUUUCUCUCUCCUCCAUCUCUCUCUUGUCUGUGCUUUUCUCUGGUCUAGUACUCUGGUCCUCUUUGGAGACCUAGCUUUAAUUAAGUUCGGAACUGGGAGGAAGCUCAAUCAGUUCGCUCAACAUCAUAAUUAAAUCCCUUGCAGAUGAAGUGAGCCUGCGCAAUCAAAGACUGCAUUUGGUUUACAAUGGAGUUGAGUUUGGUGGCGGAAGUCUGAGAAUUUAUAAACGUGAGGUGCAGCAAAAGGUUUUGGAAAUUGUUGGCAUCUCCCCUGAAGAGGCUGAAGCGAAGUUUGGCUAUCUUCUUGAGGCAUUAGACAUGGGUGCCCUCCACAUGGUAUUGAAUUCUAUGACAUCGCUGUCUAACAGUCUAAUUACUAGCAUAAGUAUGAGCAUGUUUGAUAUUUUGGUCACUUAUAUUUUAUUCCUUACUCUAUGUUAUGGACCUCCUAUGCUUCCGUUGUUAUUUGUUCAUCAGAUAUAAUAUGAAUAGACACAUGUUGCAAUCUGAAAAUAAAGUUAAACCUCAAGUCAUUGAAGUUUCAGAGAAAUAACUGAAUGUUCUUAGUUAUUUUAUAUCUGAUUAAAUAGAGAUAAAUAAUAUUAAUAAUUUUGUACAUAACAAGGUGCUUAGGUUCUGCUCUAGAUUUGAAAUUUGUUCUGAUGAUGUAGGAUGAAUAAUCAUCCAUAGAAGAGGUUAGCCACUUACUUAAGGAUGAGCUAGUAGCAUAUGUUCUGUAGAAUAAUGGCAGGUGAAAGGACAACUGAUUUUCUGGAGUUCACUUGCAACAUCUUUUCAAUAAGGGAAGAUAUAAUUCCAUGGUUUCCAUGAAUGGUAAUGCAGAACUUCAAAUGUUACCAUUCAAAGCUACUAAGAUUAGGCUUUUACGUAGCCUAUGUAUUCACACUCAAACAAUGCAGGUUCAUUGGCAGCUACACCAAGGACUGGAAACUCAAGUUACAAGUAUUUUUAUCUUAUAACAAACUGCUAUUUUUUUUCUUUUUUGUUUUACUGUAUCUACAAACCGUUUUUGUCUUCAUAUGGUUUAUUUAGAAGACUUCAAUCUUGUUCUUUUCUUUUGCUAUUGUAUAUGGAGAAGUUUAGGCCAUACGUCCCCUUCUCCCUACUCUUUGUACUCUUUUUAUCAAUAGUAUUAAUGGGAAUUUUC